rnacentral:rRNA from 1 species
CACGUAGGGGGCAAGCGUUGUCCGGAUUUAUUGGGCGUAAAGAGCUCGUAGGUGGUUCGGUAAGUCAGGUGUGAAACCUCCAGGCUCAACCUGGAGACGCCACUUGAUACUGCUGUGACUGGAGUCCGGUAGGGGAGCGUGGAAUUCCUGGUGUAGCGGUGAAAUGCGCAGAUAUCAGGAGGAACACCAGCGGCGAAGGCGGCGCUCUGGGCCGGUACUGACACUGAGAGACGAAAGCUAGGGGAGCGAAUGGG